rnacentral:rRNA from 1 species
UACGUAGGGCGCAAGCGUUUAUCCGGAAUUAUUGGGCGUAAAGAGCUCGUAGGCGGUUUGUCGCGUCUGCCGUGAAAGUCCGGGGCUCAACUCCGGAUCUGCGGUGGGUACGGGCAGACUAGAGUGAUGUAGGGGAGACUGGAAUUCCUGGUGUAGCGGUGAAAUGCGCAGAUAUCGGGAGGAACACCGGUGGCGAAGGCGGCGACCUGGGUAGAUACUGACGCUGAGGUGCGAAAGCGUGGGGAGCAAACAGG